rnacentral:rRNA from 1 species
UCCAGACUCCUACGGGAGGCAGCAGUGGGGGAUAUUGCACAAUGGGGGAAACCCUGAUGCAGCGACGCCGCGUGGGUGAAGAAGUAUUUCGGUAUGUAAAGCCCUAUCAGCAGGGAAGAAAGAAGACGGUACCUGACUAAGAAGCCCCGGCUAACUACGUGCCAGCAGCCGCGGUAAUACGUAGGGGGCGAGCGUUAUCCGGAUUCACUGGGUGUAAAGGGAGCGUAGACGGCCGUGCAAGCCAGGAGUGAAAGCCCGGGGCCCAACCCCGGGACUGCUCUUGGAACUGUGCGGCUGGAGUGCGGGAGGGGCAGGCGGAAUUCCUGGUGUAGCGGUGAAAUGCGUAGAUAUCAGGAGGAACACCGGCGGCGAAGGCGGCCUGCUGGACCGCGACUGACGUUGAGGCUCGAAAGCGUGGGGAGCGAACAGGAUUAGAUACCCCGGUAA